rnacentral:rRNA from 1 species
UACGUAGGGGGCAAGCGUUGUCCGGAUUUAUUGGGCGUAAAGCGCGUGUAGGCGGCUAGGUAGGUCCGUUGUGAAAACUCUAGGCUCAACCUCGAGACGCCGGUGGAAACCAUCUAGCUAGAGUCCGGAAGAGGAGAGUGGAAUUCCUGGUGUAGCGGUGAAAUGCGCAGAUAUCAGGAAGAACACCCGUGGCGAAGGCGGCCCUCUGGUCCGUGACUGACGCUGAGACGCGAAAGCGUGGGGAGCGAACAGG